UUGCCCUAGUAACGGCGAGUGAAGCGGCAACAGCUCAAAUUUGAAAUCUGGCCUUCUUUGGGGGUCCGAGUUGUAAUUUGCAGAGGGUGCUUUGGUGUUGACAGCGGUCUAAGUUCCUUGGAACAGGACGUCACAGAGGGUGAGAAUCCCGUACGUGGUCGCUUGCCUCCGCCGUGUAAAGCCCCUUCGACGAGUCGAGUUGUUUGGGAAUGCAGCUCUAAAUGGGAGGUAAAUUUCUUCUAAAGCUAAAUACUGGCCAGAGACCGAUAGCGCACAAGUAGAGUGAUCGAAAGAUGAAAAGCACUUUGGAAAGAGAGUCAAACAGCACGUGAAAUUGUUGAAAGGGAAGCGCUUGCAGCCAGACUUGCCCGUAGUUGCUCACCCGGACUUUUGCCCGGGGCACUCUUCUGCGGGCAGGCCAGCAUCAGUUUGGGCGACCGGAUAACGGCCUCUGUCAUGUAUCUUCCUUCGGGAUGACCUUAUAGGGGAGGCGUAAUGCGGCCAGCCCGGACUGAGGUCCGCGCUUCGGCUAGGAUGCUGGCGUAAUGGCUGUAAGCGGCCCGUCUUGAAACACGGACCAAGGAGUCUAACAUCUAUGCGAGUGUUUGGGUGUCAAGCCCGGGCGCGUAAUGAAAGUGAACGGAGGUGGGAACCCUUUCGGGGGUGCACCAUCGACCGAUCCUGAUGUCUUCGGAUGGAUUUGAGUAAGAGCAUAGCUGUUGGGACCCGAAAGAUGGUGAACUAUGCUUGAAUAGGGUGAAGCCAGAGGAAACUCUGGUGGAGGCUCGCAGCGGUUCUGACGUGCAAAUCGAUCGUCAAAUUUGGGCAUAGGGGCGAAAGACUAAUCGAACUAUC
rnacentral:rRNA from 1 species